CCGGAGCUUGCUCCACCGAAAGAAAAAGAGUGGCGAACGGGUGAGUAACACGUGGGUAACCUGCCCAUCAGAAGGGGAUAACACUUGGAAACAGGUGCUAAUACCGUAUAACACUAUUUUCCGCAUGGAAGAAAGUUGAAAGGCGCUUUUGCGUCACUGAUGGAUGGACCCGCGGUGCAUUAGCUAGUUGGUGAGGUAACGGCUCACCAAGGCAACGAUGCAUAGCCGACCUGAGAGGGUGAUCGGCCACACUGGGACUGAGACACGGCCCAGACUCCUACGGGAGGCAGCAGUAGGGAAUCUUCGGCAAUGGACGAAAGUCUGACCGAGCAACGCCGCGUGAGUGAAGAAGGUUUUCGGAUCGUAAAACUCUGUUGUUAGAGAAGAACAAGGAUGAGAGUAAAACGUUCAUCCCUUGACGGUAUCUAACCAGAAAGCCACGGCUAACUACGUGCCAGCAGCCGCGGUAAUACGUAGGUGGCAAGCGUUGUCCGGAUUUAUUGGGCGUAAAGCGAGCGCAGGCGGUUUCUUAAGUCUGAUGUGAAAGCCCCCGGCUCAACCGGGGAGGGUCAUUGGAA
rnacentral:rRNA from 1 species